rnacentral:rRNA from 1 species
GACAGAGGUGCCAAGCGUUAGGCGGAAUCACUGGGCUUAAAGCGUGUGUAGGCGGAUCGUUAAGUACCUUGUGAAAUCCCACGGCUCAACCGUGGAACUGCUGGGUAUACUGGCGGUCUUGAGCCACCUAGGGGCGAGCGGAACAAACGGUGGAGCGGUGAAAUGCGUAGAUAUCGUUUGGAACGCCAAUGGUGAAAACAGGUUGCUGGGAGUGCGCUGACGCUGAGACACGAAAGCCAGGGGAGCGAACGGG